AGACCUGCUCUGAGUCCAGCUUAGCUUUCCAAAAUUCUGUGUGGAACUUACUGGAGAUGUUUUUAUAUAUUUGAAAAUAAUGGCCUGUAUUUCUCACGCUAUACUUAAAAAAAAUAACUAACCUUUUAAACAAAGAUAUUCAAACUCACCCUUGUGCUGAAAGCACUCACAUUUCUGUGUUCAUUCCUGAAAGGGCGUUUUAGAGUCCCCGUUUCUACGUUCUAUGUGGCACCCUCUUGCCGAGGGAACAUCCAGAAUCCCUCCACUUCCUGUCUAGUUUGAGGCCUCAACACCUUCAUGAUCCAGAGUCCUGCGGCUAUGAGGGGGUGGGCCCACCACCGCCCAGCCCUCCUUGGUGGACGUGGGGACAGGCCAAUUUCUAAAAAGACUGAGGCCUCCUUCAAGGUUGAACAGAUUUCUAGAGCCUUGUUUUUGCUGUGACAAGUCCCUAGUCCCUGUUCACAACUCUGAAACCAAGAAACCUGAGAACCAAGAGAACUGAAAUGAAGCCCGUUGGUCUCAGCCUGGCUUGAGCCAACAUGAGGCUCUCUGCUGCCUUUUGUUUUCUUAGGUUUUGCUGAGAAACGGGAGUGCGUUCUGUGUCGGUGUUUGUGACGCCCUGAGACCCUGCUUGGCCUAGCUAAAGUCCAGAAGGCCUGGGCCCCACAGGGCUUGGAUGAGGGCUCAUGGGCCUGUACUUCAGGAGGCCUGAGAGGCCCGGU
ensembl:lncRNA GFOD3P Gfo/Idh/MocA-like oxidoreductase domain containing 3, pseudogene